rnacentral:rRNA from 1 species
UACGUAGGGUGCAAGCGUUAUCCGGAUUUACUGGGUUUAAAGGGUGCGUAGGUGGGCAGGUAAGUCAGUGGUGAAAUCUCCGGGCUUAACCCGGAAACUGCCAUUGAUACUAUCUGUCUUGAAUAUCCUGGAGGUAAGCGGAAUAUGUCAUGUAGCGGUGAAAUGCUUAGAUAUGACAUAGAACACCCAUUGCGAAGGCAGCUUACUACGGGAUUAUUGACACUGAGGCACGAAAGCGUGGGGAUCAAACAGG